GGGUAUAGCUUAGUGAUAGAGCACAUGCUUAGCAUGCAUGAGGUUCUGGAUUCAGUUUCCAGUAUGUCCA
rnacentral:tRNA from 1 species